UCGAGAAUCUUCGGCAAUGGGCGCAAGCCUGACCGAGCGACGCCGCGUGGAGGAUGAAGGCCUUCGGGUUGUAAACUCCUGUCGAGGGGGAAGAAGGCCCCGCGAGGGGCUUGACUGAUCCCUGGAGGAAGCACGGGCUAAGUUCGUGCCAGCAGCCGCGGUAAGACGAACCGUGCGAACGUUAUUCGGAAUCACUGGGCUUAAAGCGCGUGUAGGUGGGACGGCACGUCGGUCGCUGAAAGCCCCCGGCUCAACCGGGGAAGUGGCGCCGAUACGACCGGCCUGGAGGGACGUAGGGGGACCUGGAACUUCCGGUGGAGCGGUGAAAUGCGUUGAGAUCGGAAGGAACGCCCGUGGCGAAAGCGAGGUCCUGGACGUUUUCUGACACUGAGACGCGAAAGCCAGGGGAGCGAACG
rnacentral:rRNA from 1 species